UACAGAGGGUGCAAGCGUUGUCCGGAAUUAUUGGGCGUAAAGCGCGCGCAGGCGGCCUUUUAAGUCUGAUGUGAAAGCCCACGGCUCAACCGUGGAAGGUCAUUGGAAACUGAAAGGCUUGAGUACCGAAGAGGAAAGCGGAAUUCCACGUGUAGUGGUGAAAUGCGUAGAGAUGUGGAGGAACACCAGUGGCGAAGGCGGCUUUCUGGUCUGUAACUGACGCUGAGGCGCGAAAGCGUGGGGAGCAAACAGG
rnacentral:rRNA from 1 species